AAAGAAGUAAUAAACUCAUUAUUUUCUUUAAUUUUACAAAGUAAACAAUUUGUUUGCAUUUGCGCGAGCAUAUUCACGCAGCGCUGUCUCGUGAGUGCAGUGCACGUUUUUGAAUUCCAGCAGUUGAGAAGAGAUUGAUCCUCGUCUGCUGAUUUAAGCUGAUGGUCUGACGGAAAUAUUGUUGUGCGGAUUUACACUAAAACACGAAAGAGCCUGAACCGACCGUGUCACAAGUUGCCUUACAUCGCAAACAAAAAGAUGCAAGACUGCAAACUUUCCAGUUCUCCUGUGUACUGAUAAUCCGGUUUCCACCCAGUCCCAGGAGAUUAUAUUAAACCUGGAAAAUAUUGGAGAAGAUCAAUUCAGUUUUCAGGAGCACAUUACUUUGAUAAAUGCUGAACUAUGUAAAAGACAACCUGACUACACCAACAUAUCAAAAAUCUAAUGAGAUGCGCUCUUUUUAAAAGAGUUGAUUUAAUGACAAAAUCAACAUGAGAGGUCAUGGACAUGUUCCCAUUUCUUCAGGUUCCACAACUUGUGAGUAUUUGUUUUUAGUGUUGUUUCCUUUGAGUUUAGU